GAUACAAUUGCAUCUUUGUUACUACGUAACUCUGAUUACAUCUACCUAUUUUCUGUGAGAUUGGUAUUUGUAGGUGGAUACGUGUUUAAUGGAAUAUAACAUAAUAUACUACUGGUUGUCGUGCAUGACGUUGCUCGUGUCAAAAGACAUUACAAGAAUAUGAACUAAGUAACCAGUUACUAAAGUAACUGCUAUUGAUUGUGCGUAUCCUCGUAAUAAUUAUUAUGGAUUUUAAAAAAUAAAUAAAAAAAUAGUAUUUAUAUUUUUUGUUUUGUAGGUUUUAACUAUUUUUUUUUUUUUUCAUAUCAACGAUAUCACCGAAGUUACUUGCUCAUAAAUCAACAAAAAUCAUUCGACUUCCGUCGCCCUAACUAUAAUAAGACACACUGUGUUUAUAAGCCGAAUUGUCGAAAUGAAUACUGUAACGGAUAUCAAAAAGUAAACUGUACACGUGUAUUUUUUCCAUUUUCAAAAUAUUUCGAACAUAAUAAUAAUCUAGAAAAUAUUCUUAUUAUAUGAUAUUAUCGGUUCGUCGGCGAUACUAUAAUAUCACCUAAACAUACAACGGAUACAACGCAUUAUUAUAAAAAAGAAUAUAAUAUUAUUAUAUUAAUAUAAUAUAUGAAAUCAGCUUUUCUACACAAUCUGAGUUUAAAUCUUUUUUGUGGGAUUUAUGGGUACUCUAUGUAAAAUACGACCGUACACGUCGAAAAUAAAUACCUACUUACGUCUUACCUAUAUAUAUAUAUAUAU